AUGGAGGCAGCAGUGAGGAAUCUUGCGCAAUGGGGGCAACCCUGACGCAGCAACGCCGCGUGAGUGAUGAAGGCCUUCGGGUCGUAAAGCUCUGUCAGAUGGGAAGAAAAUUCCGGCGGUGAACAAUCGUCGGGAUCGACGGUACCGUCAGAGGAAGCACCGGCUAACUCCGUGCCAGCAGCCGCGGUAAUACGGAGGGUGCAAGCGUUGUUCGGAAUUAUUGGGCGUAAAGAGCGUGUAGGCGGCCGGGUAAGUCAGAUGUGAAAGCCCUUGGCUCAACCAAGGAAGUGCAUUUGAAACUACCCGGCUUGAGUACGGGAGGGGGAAGCGGAAUUCCUGGUGUAGAGGUGAAAUUCGUAGAUAUCAGGAGGAACACCGGUGGCGAAGGCGGCUUCCUGGACCGAUACUGACGCUGAGACGCGAAAGCGUGGGGAGCAAACAGGAUUAGAUACCCUGGUAGC
rnacentral:rRNA from 1 species